UACCAGCACCCCGAGUGGUCGGGACGUUUAUUGGGCCUAAAGCAUCCGUAGCCGGUUCUACAAGUCUUCCGUUAAACUCCAACUGCUUAACAGGUGGGCUGCGGAAGAUACUAUAGAGCUAGGAGGCGGGAGAGGCAAGCGGUACUCGAUGGGUAGGGGUAAAAUCCGUUGAUCCAUUGAAGACCACCAGUGGCGAAGGCGGCUUGCCAGAACGCGCUCGACGGUGAGGGAUGAAAGCUGGGGGAGCAA
rnacentral:rRNA from 1 species